GAGAAAAGCAAAAUCAAAAUGGCGAGACGCGUGUUGGAAGAAGAUUUGAAGAAUAUCGAAUUCGAAACAAGUGAAGAUGUCGAUGUUACCCCUACUUUUGACCACAUGGGCUUACGGGAAGAUCUUCUUAGAGGAAUAUAUGCAUAUGGAUUUGAAAAACCAUCAGCAAUUCAACAAAGAUCUAUCAAACCAAUUGUGAAAGGAAGAGACGUCAUAGCCCAGGCCCAAUCUGGAACAGGAAAAACAGCCACCUUUUCCAUCUCUAUCCUACAGUGUCUGGACACACAAAUAAGAGAAACCCAGGCACUUGUACUCUCUCCAACUAGGGAGUUGGCAGUUCAAAUUCAGAAGGUUAUUCUUGCCCUGGGAGAUUACAUGAGUGUGCAGUGUCAUGCUUGUAUUGGAGGUACAAAUAUUGGAGAUGACAUCAGAAAGUUGGAUUAUGGGCAGCAUGUUGUUUCUGGAACACCUGGCAGAGUCUUUGAUAUGAUCAGGAGAAGAAAUCUGAGAACAAGAGCCAUAAAGAUGCUGGUUUUGGAUGAAGCUGAUGAAAUGUUAAAUAAAGGUUUCAAAGAGCAGAUUUAUGAUGUGUACAGAUACCUUCCCCCAGCAACACAGGUUUGCCUAAUUUCUGCUACACUCCCACACGAAAUCCUUGAGAUGACCAACAAAUUCAUGACAGACCCCAUUAGAAUCCUGGUGAAACGUGACGAGUUGACAUUGGAAGGCAUCAAACAGUUCUUUGUGGCUGUUGAGAGAGAGGAGUGGAAGUUUGACACACUCUGUGAUCUCUAUGAUACUCUGACCAUCACACAAGCUGUCAUAUUCUGCAACACAAAGAGAAAGGGAGGCCAUCAUGAAAGAAUUCAGAUCAGGGGCCAGCCGUGUAUUAAUUACUACUGAUGUGUGGGCCAGAGGUAUUGAUGUUCAACAGGUGUCCCUUGUCAUCAACUAUGAUCUACCAAACAACAGAGAAUUGUACAUUCACAGAAUUGGGCGUUCGGGCAGAUUUGGACGUAAGGGUGUAGCUAUCAAUUUUGUGAAGAGUGACGACAUUAGAAUCCUGAGAGAUAUUGAACAGUACUAUGCCACCCAGAUUGAUGAAAUGCCAAUGAAUGUGGCAGACUUGAUCUAAUCAACUGGAGGGGAAGAAUCAGGAAGAGGACUUAAUUUUGGCCCAACAAAUACCAUUUACAACUGAUGGUGUAAAACAGAAAGUUUUGACAUUUGCAUUAUGUGGUGAUACAGAAUUUUAUCAUGGCAUCACUUGCAACCUUCAUUAAUCAUGAACUUCAUGCAAUAUAUAAUGUCUAUUUCAUGCCUAUGUUGUCUUGACAUGUACAUAAAAGGUCUGGUUUUCUUUUUUAUACAUGUAUGCCAGAAAGAAAAUAAAUUUUAGUUGU
rnacentral:misc_RNA from 1 species